AACGAACGCUGGCGGCAGGCUUAACACAUGCAAGUCGAACGAGAUCUUCGGAUCUAGUGGCAGACGGGUGAGGAACACGUGGGAACAUCCCUUUCAGUUCGGAAUAACGUUGGGAAACUAACGCUAAUACCGGAUACGUCCUUCGGGAGAAAGAUUUAUCGCUGAAAGAUUGGCCCGCGUCUGAUUAGCUAGUUGGUGAGGUAAUGGCUCACCAAGGCUACGAUCAGUAGCUGAUCUGAGAGGAUGAUCAGCCACAUUGGGACUGAGACACGGCCCAAACUCCUACGGGAGGCAGCAGUGGGGAAUAUUGGACAAUGGGCGGAAGCCUGAUCCAGCAACGCCGCGUGAGGGAUGACGGCCUUCGGGUUGUAAACCUCUUUCAGUAGGAACGAAGCGCAAGUGACGGUACCUACAGAAGAAGCACCGGCCAACUACGUGCCAGCCGCCGCAGUAA
rnacentral:rRNA from 1 species